UGAUUUAUUUAAUGGCCGCGGUAUAUUGACCGUGCAAAGGUAGCAUAAUCAUUAGCCUAUUAAUUGUGGGCUUGUAUGAAUGGUUGGACGAAAUAUUUACUGUCUCAUGUUUAUUUUUUAUAAUUUAAAUUUUGAGUUAAAAUGCUUAAAUUAUUUUAUAGGACGAGAAGACCCUAUAGAUCUUUAUUUUUAAUUUAUUAAUUUAUUUUGGUUUAUUGUUAUUUGAUUUUUAUAAUUAUUUUGUUGGGGUGACAUGGGGAUAUUUGAAACUCUUUAUUUUAUUUUUCAUUGAUUAAUGUGAUUUUGACCUUUUUAUAUUGUUUUAAGACAUAGAUACCUUAGGGAUAACAGCGUAAUUCCAUUUGAGAGUUCAUAUCGACAGUGGAGAUUGCGACCUCGAUGUUGGAUUAAGAUUAUAAUUGGGCGCAGAAGCUUAAUUGUUAGGUCUGUUCGACCUUUAAAUUCUUACAUGAUCUGAGUUA
rnacentral:rRNA from 1 species